rfam:Parcubacteria bacterium GW2011_GWE1_40_20 TT89_C0004, whole genome shotgun sequence.
CCUAAUGGGAAAUUUAAGAGCGUAUGGUGGAUGCCUUGACUCAAAAUGGCGAUGAAAGACGUAGCAUGGCUGCGAUAAGUUACGGGGAGGUGCCUAGCAACCGUUAAUCCGUAAAUUUCUGAAUGGGGAAACCUAAUGACUAUAUGUCAUUGCUUAGGAGUUUAUCCUAAGUGCAUACCCGGGGAAGUAAAACAUUUCAGUACCCGGAGGAAAAUAAAACAAUGUUCGUAAGAACGACAUUUCCUUAGUAGCGGCGAGCGAAACGGAAAUAGCCCAAACCACCCUCCUAUCUUUGGUCCCAAAGUUUCGACUGCGGGGUUAAAGAUAGUAGGGUGGGGUUGUAAGGCAGGAACGUCAUAAUUUAUUAUGAGAGAAGUUACAAAAUAUUAUGUUAGUUGAAUGUGCUGGAAAGCACGACCCUAGAGGGUAAUGGUCCCGUAAACGAAAAUAUAAUAUCUUCUUUGUUUCUGUUCUUGAGUACCUCGAGACAUGAAUAGCUCGGGGGAAUCUGCCGGUACUAACCGGUAAGGCUAAAUACAUUUUGAGAUCGAUAGUGAACUAGUACCGUGAGGGAAAGGUGAAAAGAAGUCCGAUUAGGACAGUGAAAUAGAUCUGAAACCAUAUGCUUACAAGGAGUCGGAGCGGGGGCAUCACAUUGCAUGUGAUGCUAGUCAAAAGUUUAUAAAGUCAUAAAGUCCAUAAAGUAGAAUUCUGAAUUCACUUUACAAACUUUAUAGACUUUCAACUUUAUGGACUAUGCAUCGUGUUCAGCGCGAUGCCUCCGUCACGGCGUGCCUAUUGAAGAAUGAGCCAACGAGUUCUAGUACGCGGUUUGACUAAGUCCUUCAUCGGAUGGAGUCGUAGGGAAACCGAGUGUGAAUAGCGCGUAUGGAACCCACCUCAAAAAUAAUGACUUGUGCAAACUAAAAAAUUUCUAGGAAAAAAUAAAGGAUGAGGCGCGAGACAUAUCUAGAUAUGUCGAGUGGCGAAACUUUAUUUGUUACAGAAAUUUUGAUGUUUGGAUAGUCAAACAUAUUAUCGUGUUUGAUUGUGGUUAUUUUUGAGGUGGGUUCCAAUCGUGUGCUAGAGACCCGAAGCCAGAGCGAGCUUGCCAUGAGCAGGUUGAAGUUUGUCGAAAGACAGAUGGAGGACCGAACCGGUUGCCCGUGCGAUUGCAUCGGAUGACUUGUGGUAAGAAGUGAAAAGCUAAUCGAGCCUGGUAAUAGCUGGUUCUCUCCGAAAUAGCUUUUGGGCUAGCGUCGCAUGUUCCCUUCCGGGGUAGAGCACUGGAAGGUUUCGACAGGGAGCAAUCUCGCGAAACCUAUCAAACUCCGAAUACGGAAGAUUUAAAGCGCGGCAGUUAGACGGUGGGGGCUAAGCUCCAUACGUCAAAAAGGAAACAGCCUAGAUCUCUAUUUAAGGUCCCUAAAUCUAUGUUAAGUGCACUUGAGGUGGUGAAUUUUCUCUGACACUGAGGAGGUUGGCUUAGAAGCAGCCAUCCUUUAAAGAUAGCGUAACAGCUCACUCAGUAAGAGAAUUCGCGCCGCAAAUAAUCGGGGCUAAACAUAGUACCGAAACUGAGGGUUUCAUAAUUCUUCGGAAUUGUGGAGCGGUAGGAGAGUAUUCGCAUCUGCUGUGAAGGCAAAGGGGUGACCCAUGCUGGAGCGUUGCGAAGUAAGAAUGUUGGCACAAGUAACCACAUUGCGGGUGAGAUCCCCGCACGCCGAAAGACUAAGGUUUCCUGUUCAAUGUCAAUCAGAGCAGGGUUAGUCGGGCCUAAGGCAAUGGAGAGAUCCGCAGCCGAUGGACACAUGGUUAAUAUUCCAUGACUUUUAUGUGAUGCGAUGGAAGGACGGAGUGUAGUAUGUAUUGCUCAUUAUUGGAUUUGAGUAAAUGCUGUGAGGUAGUUGACUAGGUAAAUCCGGUCACUUUCUUAAAUGAUAAUACCAAGUAGUAUUUAAACCUGCGGGUUCGCCCUAGGGAAUUAUACAAAGCACGCUUCCAAGAAAAUUUUCUAAGCAUAAUCACAUGAGAUCCGUACCGUAAACCGACACAGGUAGUCAGGUCGAGUAGACUAAGGCGAACGAGUGAGAGAUCCCCAAGGAACUCGGCAAAAAAGCAGCCGUAACUUCGGAAUAAGGCUCACCGACGCAUCACAUGGAAUGUGAUGUCGUCAAGUUCAAAGUUCAAAGUUCAAAGUUGAAAGUGGGCUCAAAUGCAUUUGCAUUUCGAAUUUACUUUAUGACUUUAUAACUUUCUACUUUUGACUUGGCGUCAUCGUGCUUCGCGCGAUGCGCCGGUUGCAACAAAAGUUUCUCUGGCAACUGUUUAUCAAAAACACAGCUCCCUGCGAACUCGCAAGAGGAUGUAUAGGGGGUGACACCUGACCAAUGCCAGAAGGUCAAAUAUGGUAGUUGAGAGUCGCAAGAUUUUAGAUUGACCGUAUAAGCCCUGGUGAAUGUCGGCCGUAACUAUAACGGUCCUAAGGUUCUGAUUCUUCGUGAGAGGGGUCAGAAGGACUGGGACUGUUUAGCUACUGCUUACACAUGUAAAAAUGUAAAAGCAUUUUGAUAAACAAAAUAAAAAAUAAUCAUCACAAUCAUUCAAAGCUGCCUCGCCCUGUGGUAACACAGGGCAGGUCCAAAAAUAUCGACUAUAUGCUGGAAGAUCUGUGCAUAAAAUGCUGUAGAAUCGAGUACUACUUAAUGAUAUACUUAUGACAAGUGCUAUUUAACACUUGUCUAAUAAUAUCAUGAGUAAAAAAGUAUCUCGUGCAGAAGAUCAGCAGGAAAGACUAAUAACAACAGGAUGGAUAGUUGGUUUUGUAGACGGUGAAGGGUGCUUCUCUAUUAAUUUUGUUAGACAAUCUGAUAAAAAGGAGAAAAAUCGGAUUCGCAAAGGAUACAAAACCGGGUAUCAGAUAUUCUAUGAGUUUGCUAUUACACAGGGCGAAAGUAGUUUGGGAAGUUUAGAAAAAAUUAAAGAUUUUUUCGGUGUGGGAAAAAUUUAUCUUAAUAAAAGAUAUGAUAACCACAAAGAACAUCUUCUCAGAUAUACUGUUCGCAAACUAGAUGAUCUGGUAAAUAUAAUAGUUCCUUUUUUCAAAAAAAAUGAACUAAGAACUUCAAAAAAGAAAAAUUUUGAAAUAUUUACUAAAUGUCUCGGUGAGAUAAGUAAAGGUAAACAUCUAACCAUAAAUGGGGCCGUGAAAAUAGCCCACAUGAUGGAAAAGAUGAAUCAUAAGAAAAACAGAUCGGACGUUAUUAGAAUCCUCAGAAACCAAACGUCGAACUCUGCAUAAUUGCAGAGAAGAUAGAGUUCGGGUUACAAGGCGACUUGUAAAGGAGACCCUAGCGAAAUUCCUUGUCGGGUAAGUAUCGGAACUUGCCCCUUAAUCGAGCAAUCGAUUUUGACACAUUUGCUAUAUCGGUGAAACCUAAGUUCAGCGCAAGUUGAAUAUGGCAAUACCGAGGGAACCCCAUUUUUAUGGGGACGCCGUAGAGACUACACGCAAACAUCCUUAAUGGAUGAAGAUAUAGUCCAUGCCUUUAGAAAUAAAGGGUUCACAUUAAUUUAUUUAAUAGUGAGUAAUGAAGUUCCGACGUGCACGAAUGGUGUAAUGACUGGAGAACUGUCUCGGGGAUUUGCUCGGUGAAAAUACAAUACCGGUGAAGAUGCCGGUUACCUGCAGUUAGACGAAAAGACCCCAGGAGCUUUACUGCAACUUGAUAUUGAGGAUAUGACUUGCAUACGUAGCAUAGUGGUGAGAGGUUUGAUGGUUUCGUUCUCGGACGGGAUCUACUCGACAGUGAAAUAGCCAUUUUGUUUGUUAUAUUUUCUAACCUGUUCGGCAAAAACGAACAGAGACAGUUUCUGGUGGGCAGUUUUAGUGGGGCGCUAUCCUCCUAAAGAGUAACGGAGGAGUUUAUUAAGGUCAGCUAGGCGCGAAUGGAAACCGUGCCGAUAGUGUAAUGGCAUAAGCUGGCUUAACUGUGAGACGUACUUGUCAAACAGAUGCGAAAGCAGAACAUAGUGAACCGACGGUCCGUUUUAGAGGCGGCCGGAGAUUAUCGGAUAAAAGCUACCCUGGGGAUAACAGGCUGGUUGCACCUAAGCGUCCAUAGCGACGGUGCAGUUCGGCACCUCGAUGUCGGCUCAUCUUAGCCUGGGGGUGAAGAAGCUCCCAAGGGUAUGGCUGUUCGCCAUUUAAAAAGAUACGCGAGCUGGGUUCAGACCGUGGAGGAUUCAUAUCAUAUCGCAAGAUAUAUCAUGUUUCCUCCACAAUCUGAAUCCUCAGAGGAAUUUCGUUUGUGAAUUAAUAAAAGAAAGUAGACCAAUCAAAUCGCGGCGGUCCGUCACAAAAUUGUGACGAGAUUAAAGUUGAUUUAUAUCGGUGAAGUCCGUUCUGGCUGAAAGCCAAGACCGAGAUAAUACCGAGGGAAGUUUGUGGGUUGAAUAAUGGUGGCGAUGUAAAGUCCAGACACCGGUGAGCCUGAGGCUUAAAGGGGUUAAGGGCUUCUGGCGAAGAAAGCCUAACGGUGUGCAUUGGCCUUGGAGCCGUUGCAUCGUCAUCACAGGGGAGUGUGCGCAGACGUGCACUCCCCGACAUUAUUCAAUUCACAAAUGCCCGUAGAGACUAAACAUCAACAGCCCGCCAUAUUAAAAAUAUGCCGAGGUGAAGUUAUAGUCCAAUGCACGAAGUAAUUCGUGGAAACAUGCGUGAGACAGGUUGGUCUCCUAUCUACUGUAGGCGUUGAUUCUUGAGAAGAUUUGCCCCUAGUAAGCCCGAAAGGGCCUUGCUACUUUAGGAAGUAAUUCCUAAUGAAAAAGUGGCUAAUAACGGUGAAGUCUUAAUAAACUAAGGUCUGUUGAUAACUAUUCUUGUGACGGUCCGUCAUGAGUAGUACAAUUCACUUGAGGACCAGAAAAUAAUUAAGAUAAUACCGUGGGAAGUCGAUCUAAUAUUGAUUUAGCAUAUAUAGCAGGAUUUCUUGAUGGCGACGGGAGCUUAAUGCUCCAAAUCAAGAAAAGAGCAGAUGGAAAAAAUAAGAUUCGUUUUAUGGCAACCCUUUGUUUUUAUCAAGAUACUCGUCACGAAAAAGACUUGUUGUGGAUUCAAAAAGUUUUAAGAAUUGGAUAUCUAUCAAAAAGAAAUGAUGGAAUGUCUGAACUUAGAAUUAAUGGAUUUGCAACAAUCAGAGAAAUUUUGAAAAACUUGAUACCAAGUAUCAGGUUCAAAAAGAUUCAAGCAAAAGCUUUGUUUGAAUCCUGCACAAUUUUGUCAAAAACAAAAUUUAAUAUGUUAAACCGUAAACAGCUGACUAAACUUGUUGAUCUAAUCUUGGUAAUUCAGAAUGAGAAUUACGUUACCAAGAAAAAGAGAACACGAAGUGAACUGUUUCAGGUAUUAGGUUUGACCCCGUAACGACUUAUCCCUUCACCUCUAGAGGUGAGGGAUGGAUUUAUGUAGUACUGGAAAGCCGAGUAGACUGAACUACGAAGCAGGGCUACAUUUAUAAUAUGCCAACAUCCGAGCCAGUCUCUGGCGGAUGAAGAUAUAGUCUGUGCUCCUAGUGAUAGGGGAACGAAACGACGAGAGGACCGGGGUGAACUGACCUCUGGUGUGUCUGCUGUCCUGCCAAGGGCAACGCAGAGUAGCUAAGUUGGGAAGGGAUAAACUCUGAAAGCAUCUAAGAGUGAAACCCACUUCAAGAUUAGGAAUCGUUUGAGGCCCGUGAGAGAUGAUCACGUGAUAGGCACUAGGUGUAAGCACAGUAAUGUGUUCAGCCAAGGUGUACUAAUUAGCCGAUUUCUAUUAGGAA